rnacentral:lncRNA from 1 species
UCGUACGACAGGGAUAUGGAUGUGGGGCUGAUUAAUGCUGAUAGCAACCCCAGCCCCUGCUGUAUUUUAAGGAUUUUGUCAGAAGCAGCAGAUUGCUAACAGUUAUUUGGUUAUAUGGUCAUCUUAACGAAGUCCAGCAAAAUUCCAGAGCUAUAAAGUCAUCACAAACAAGUUCCAGAUGAUUGCUGACAGAUUUUCCAAAUAUGCUAAAAAAGGGUCUACAACAAGGGUCUACUUGCAUCAGUUUCUGAAAGCAAUAUACUCUGCCUCUUCAAAAGGAACUCAACAAUUUCCUGUGCAUUAUACAGAAUUAUAGACAACAUUUAUGUGGGCUGCUGCUGAUCUUCAUCCUUCCCUCUUAAAUUUCAGAUAAACCUUUUGAGUAAGCCAAUUUCCUUUGCUAUGAGCUCACCCCGUACCUUGGUGCCUUGGAGAACGAGAACCUCACACACAUCCCUACUACACGACCCUACCCUCAUCAGUAUGACAUCCUAAGUAGAGAAAGAGACCAUGUGUAAUGGGAAAAAAAGGAGAAGGAGAAGGAAGAGAAGGAGGAAGAGGAGGAGGAGAAGAAAAAGAAAUAAGGAG